GUGCUCACUUCGGCAGCACAUAUUAAAAAAAAAAAAAGGAAUGCUACAGAGAAGAUUAGCAUGGCCCCUGUGCAAGGAUAACUCGAAAAUUCGUGAAGUUCCAUAAAAGAGA